rnacentral:rRNA from 1 species
AUUGAACGCUGGCGGCAGGCCUAACACAUGCAAGUCGAACGAGUGGCGGACGGGUGAGUAAUGUCUGGGAAAGUGCCCGAUGGAGGGGGAUAACUACUGGAAACGGUAGCUAAUACCGCAUACCAUCGGAUGUGCCCAGAUGUGUUUCGCUAGUAGGUGGGGUAAGGGCUCACCUAGGCGACGCUCCCUAGCUGGUCUGAGAGGAUGACCAGCCACACUGGAACGGAGACACGACCCAGACACCUACGGGAGGAAGCAGUGGGGAAUAUUGCACAAUGGGCGCAAGCCUGAUACAGCCAUGCCGCGUGUAUGAAGAAGGCCUUCGGGUUGUAAAGUACUUUCAGCCAGGAGGCGUUACUCUCAGAAGAAGCACCGGCUAACUCCGUGCCAGCCGCCGCGGUAAUUC